UACAGAGGCCACAAGCGUUAGGCGGAAUCACUGGGCUUAAAGCGUGUGUAGGCGGGAUGGUAAGUACUUUGUGAAAUCCCACGGCUCAACCGUGGAACUGCUUGGUAUACUGCUUGUCUUGAGCCACUUAGGGGCUACCGGAACAAAUGGUGGAGCGGUGAAAUGCGUAGAUAUCAUUUGGAACGCCAAUGGUGAAAACAGGUAGCUGGGAGUGUGCUGACGCUGAGACACGAAAGCCAGGGGAGCGAACGGG
rnacentral:rRNA from 1 species